AAACCAACAGGGAUUGCCUCAGUAACGGCGAGUGAAGCGGCAACAGCUCAAAUUUGAAAUCUGGCUCUUUCAGGGUCCGAGUUGUAAUUUGUAGAAGAUGCUUUGAGUGUAGCUCCGGUCUAAGUUCCUUGGAACAGGACGUCAUAGAGGGUGAGAAUCCCGUACGUGACUGGGUGCUUUCGCUCGUGUAAAGCUCUUUCAACGAGUCGAGUUGUUUGGGAAUGCAGCUCAAAAUGGGUGGUAAAUUUCAUCUAAAGCUAAAUAUUGGCCAGAGACCGAUAGCGCACAAGUAGAGUGAUCGAAAGAUGAAAAGCACUUUGGAAAGAGAGUUAAACAGUACGUGAAAUUGUUGAAAGGGAAGCGCUUGCAACCAGACUUGCAUGCUGUUGAUCAUCCGAGAUUUUUCCCGGUGCACUCGGCAGUAUUCAGGCCAGCAUCGGUUUUGGUGGGCGGAUAAAGGCCUUGGGAAUGUAGCUUCUUUCGGGGAGUGUUAUAGCCCUCGGUGCAAUGCGCCCUACCGGGACCGAGGACCGCGCUUCGGCUAGGAUGCUGGCGUAAUGGUUGUAAGCGAC
rnacentral:rRNA from 1 species